rnacentral:rRNA from 1 species
UCACUUGUUCUUUAAAUGAGGACUCGUAUCAAUGGCACCACGAGGACUUUACUGUCUCCUUUUUCUAAUCAGUGAAACUAAUCUUCCCGUGAAGAAGCGGGAAUAAAUAGAUAAGACGAGAAGACCCCAUGGAGCUUUAAGCUUACUGCACCUCUAUUUUCUAUAACCUCUUAUUAAACGGAAUACUGCUUACUUGCUUUAGGUUGGGGUGACCGCGGAGUAUAACAUAACCUCCAUGAUGAACAAAACUAUUUUCUUAUCUAAGAACAACAGUUCUAAGAAUUAGUAUUCUAACAUAAAAUGAUCCGAUAAUCGAUCAACGGACUAAGUUACCCUGGGGAUAACAGCGCAAUCCAUUUCAAGAGCCCCUAUCGACAAAUGGGUUUACGACCUCGAUGUUGGAUCAGGAUAUCCUAGUGGUGCAGCAGCUACUGAAGGUUCGUUUGUUCAACGAUUAAAAUCCU